rnacentral:rRNA from 1 species
AGGGAAUCUUCCGCAAUGGACGAAAGUCUGACGGAGCAACGCCGCGUGAGUGAUGAAGGUUUUCGGAUCGUAAAGCUCUGUUGCCAGGGAAGGACGUCUUCUGGAGUAACUGCCAGGAGAGUGACGGUACCUGAGAAGAAAGCCCCGGCUAACUACGUGCCAGCAGCCGCGGUAAUACGUAGGGGGCAAGCGUUGUCCGGAAUUAUUGGGCGUAAAGCGCGCGCAGGCGGCUGUUUAAGUCUGGUGGUUAAUCCUGGGGCUCAACCCCGGGUCGCACUGGAAACUGGACGGCUUGAGUGCAGAAGAGGAGAGUGGAAUUCCACGUGUAGCGGUGAAAUGCGUAGAGAUGUGGAGGAACACCAGUGGCGAAGGCGACUCUCUGGGCUGUAACUGACGCUGAGGCAUGAAAGCGUGGGGAGCAAAC